rnacentral:tRNA from 4 species
GCGGAUAUAGUUUAGUGGUAAAACCCUCAGCCUUCCAAGCUAAUGAUGCGGGUUCGAUUCCCGCUAUCCGCU